rnacentral:rRNA from 1 species
GACGAACGCUGGCGGUGUGCUUCACACAUGCAAGUCGAACGAGGUAGCAAUACCUAGUGGCGGACGGGUGAGUAACGCGUGGGAAUCUGCCUUUAGAUGGGGGAUAACGGGUCGAAAGACUCGCUAAAUACCGCAUAUGACGAAAGUUGAAAGGAGUAAUCCGUCUAAAGAUGAGCCCGCGUCCGAUUAGCUAGUUGGUAGAGUAAAAGCCUACCAAGGCGACGAUCGGUAGCUGGUCUGAGAGGAUGAUCAGCCACAAUGGGAACUAGAGACACGGCCCAU